rnacentral:rRNA from 2 species
CUAUUAAACAAGAUAAGAGUUUUUGGUGGAUGCCUUGGGUCUGGAAGUCGAUGAAGGACGUGAUUACCUGCGAUAAGCCUCGGUUAGCUGGAAAUAUGCUGUGAUCCGGGGAUUUCCGAAUGGGGAAACCUAAUUGAGUUAAUCCUCAAUUAUCAUAUCGAUGAAUUCAUAGUCGAAUGAAGAGACACGCUGUGAAUUGAAACAUCUCAGUAGCAGCAGGAAGAGAAAAUAAAGAAUGAUUCCCUCAGUAGUGGCGAGCGAACGGGGAAAAGCCCAAACCAACAUUCGUUGUUGGGGUUGUAGGACUACAUUUUAGAGUUACAAAAUUUACAUAUAGCAGAAUAAGUUGGAAUGCUUAAACAUAGAAGGUGAAAUUCCCGUAAGCGAAAUGUGUAGAUCUCUUUGUAGUAUCCUGAGUAGGGCGGGGCACGUGAAACCCUGUCUGAAUCUGCCGGGACCACCCGGUAAGGCUAAAUACUAACCAGACACCGAUAGUGAACUAGUA